CUAAAUUUGUCUGCCGACAAGGUAUUAAGAAUAAUGGCCGACGCUAAAAUUACCCAUGAUGCAAAUGAAAGAGACCAGUUAUCGAAUUAGCCCUGAACCAGAGCCUGGGCCAUCUGGACUAGGUAAAGGAGCUUAUAUAAUAAGCACUGAAACAGAGCCCGGGCCAUCUGGACAGAAUAGAGCAAAGGAUGUGAAUUAGAAGAACUGCAUAGGCAAUUAAAAUCAAAAGAAGAAGAAGAAAUUUAUUUAAAACCUCGCCUUGAUGAGUUCCAGCACGAUUAUUUCUAUCACUGGAAAGACCAUUUUACGAUGAGCUCUGUUGGAUGCUGAUCGGAAGCUUUAUCAGUGAUCGCAGGGCUUAGUGACAAACUUGGCGACUUGGCGACGAAUUUGCGACUUUGGCGACAAAAUAGAUAUUAUUGGAAACUUCGAGAAUUUUUGCAAUCCAGCCAAUAGGAAUCGAGAUAUGCCUGAUUGCUCCAGAAUCUUCUCGGCCCGCCUUCCGGGAACUAUAAAAGGCCGCCAGUCACAAGCUUUGAGUUCAACUCUGGUUAAUAGUUGAACGAGCUCUCUCCCAGAAUGCCUCGACGAACUUAUCGUUGUUGUGCUAAGCUGUACUAUUGCGUACUGCUGUGUGCGUCUCCGGCUGUGAAUU